GUGAAGGUGGCCGAGUUGGUCUAAGGCGCUGGUUUUAGGCACCAGUCUCUCUGGAGGCGCGGGUUCAAAUCCCGUCCUUCACA
rnacentral:tRNA from 1 species